UAGGAAAAAUAAUUUUAAAAAAUAAUAAUAAAUACACAAUAUACAAGUAGAAUAAUAUGGAAUCAAUAAUAAAAUAUAUAUAUGAAACAAUUAAUAACGUUGUGCGUACAUAUAUAAAAAUAAUUUUAGAAGUAUUUGAAUUUAAUAUUGUAGUGAUUUUAAAACAAAGAAAUAUAAGUAUAUGGUAAAACUCUAAGAAAUUAUAUACAUAAGAAAAAAUAUUUGUUUAAUAUAUUAAUAAAAACAAAUAUUACGAACUAUUAUAAUAGUAGAAUAUAAUAAAUAAUAUUAGUAAUAAAAUAAUAUUAUUCUUAACAUUCAAGUAUAAUAAAAUAGUAAUAAUAAAAAUUCUAAUACUAAAAAUAAUUAAUUUUAUGGUAAAAAAGUCCAAAAUAAUCGAAAUAGGGCUUAAUUGAAUUAAAAAAUGAAAUUCUGGGGUGAAAACAUAAUAAAAGGAGAUAAGGAGACCAAAAUGCACACGCGAGUAAGGAGGGAGGGGUCUGAGCGCAAAUUUCAGGAGCAAUUUGAAAGCAUUUAAAGAAAACAAAAAAAGGACUUGAUUGAACGUAGGCGCAGAGGAAAGGGACUGGUCGCGAAAAUUGCCCAUUUAAAAGAAAUAUGCGCGGUUCCAGCCUAUAUUCAAUGCACUGCUUUUCCCCUUCCCAGGCUCUGCUUUGGAGAAUAAAAAAUAAAAACAAAUGAAGCAUUCCUUUUAAAUUUUUUUUAAAACAUUGAAGAACCUUUUAGAAAACCCUAAAAAAAUUUAUCCAUCAUUUCUCUUAUUUUUCCUAAAAAACAAAGAGAAAGCUCUCAAAUCUUUUCCUUUUCAACCAGUGCCACCUUCAUCGGAGAUCUGGCGUGCCGAGGCAGCCGACGUCGCGAGUUCACCGGUAAGUCCCCUCUCUCCCUCUCUUAUUUUUUUUUUUAAAACCGUUUGAAAAAUAAUGGAAAAGAAAAAGAACAAACGAAAUCUGAAUCAAGAGAAAAUUCCAAAAAAGAAUGAAAAAUCACCUUUCGAACCUUAGUCCCGAUUCUCGAUUUACUCUUGACUUUGUAUAUUCUCUAUUAUAUUCGAAAAAAAGAUCCCCCUUUAUAGUGUUUUUCGAGGGCUUUUAUAGCCCUUUUUACAAAUGUUUUGCUGCUGUACGUUUGUAGGUAUGGCGAGGAUCACGGAGGCCGUGGAUUGCACGAGUAACGGCGUACGUACGGAGGUGGGUAGCAGCGUGUCGGAGGGGGGCUGCUUCGGGUGUGUAGCGCUGAAAAGAUGUUGCUGCUAGGGUUUUUUCAUUAGGUUUAGGUGGGUUUUGGGGUAUUGGGUUAUUGGGUGUAUUGGGCUUAGAGAUUAGGUUAGGUUUAAUUAGGUAAUUGUUUUGGGUUUUAAAAGUAUUGGGCCCUGGGUAUAAAUUGGGCUUAACACAUAUUAUAAGAAAAUUGAAUUUAUUUAUAAUAAGGGUAUAAUGAUGAAUUUAUUUAUUUAUUUAGUAUUCUCAUUAAAGAAAGAUUAUUUUGACUUUUUUUAAUUUAAUAGUUAAAUUUAACUCUUUUUAAAAAACUAAAGAUCAAUUUUAAUUAAAAAAAUAGGAACAAAAUUGAUUAAAAAAAAGUAAAUAUUAACAUUAUGCCAAAAUUAAUUGACCGACAAAGGGAACAUCAAAAUUGUAAUGGAUAGUCUUUCUUUUUUGGGUAAAAUAUAAUCUCUCCUCUUUUUUAUUCAAG
rnacentral:lncRNA from 1 species